rnacentral:rRNA from 1 species
CCUACGGGUGACAGCAGUGGGGAAUAUUGGUCAAUGGAGGAAACUCUGAACCAGCAACGCCGCGUGAAUGAUGAAGGUCUUCGGAUUGUAAAGUUCUUUUCUAAGGGAAGAAGAAAGUGACGGUACCUUAGUCAUACGCCUCGGCUAACUACGUGCCAGCAGCCGCGGGAAUACGUAGGAGGCGAGCGUUAUCCGGAAUGACUGGUCGUAAAGGGUGCGUAGGUGGUUUGACAAGUUGGUAGCGUAACUCCGAGGCUCAACCUCGGCACUACUACCAAAACUGUCGGACUUGAGUGCAGGAGGGGCAAUUGGAAUUCCUAGUGUAGCGGUGGAAUGCGUAGAUAUUAGGAGGAACACCGGUGGCGAAGGCGAAUUGCUGGACUGUAACUGACACUGAGGCACGAAAGCGUGGGGAGCAAACAGGAUUAGAUACCCCUGUAGUC